rnacentral:lncRNA from 1 species
UAAAAGUCAGGUCGGAUUAAGCCAUAGUACGGAAAAAGCUGUGCUACCUGUGAGCCCCGUCCAAGGACGUUAAAAGAAGUCAGGCCAUCACAAAAUGCCACGGCUUGAGUAAACCGUGCAGCCUGUAGCUCCACCUGAGGAGGUGUAAAAAACCUGGGAGGCCACAAACCAUGGAAGCUGUACGCAUGGCGUAGUGGACUAGCGGUUAGAGGAGACCCCUCCCUUACAAAUCGCAGCAAACAACGGGGGCCCAAGGUGAGAUGAAGCUGUAGUCUCACUGGAAGGACUAGAGGUUAGAGGAGACCCCCCCAAAACAAAAAACAGCAUAUUGACGC